CCAAAAAUGGUUCUUCCUUUAAAGGCCAUUCAGUGCAGUGCUAUCUCCGCCAGUUGUUCUUUAUUAUGGGACUCUGAGGGCGCCCAAUUAAAAAUAUUUGCUCGCCGAGAAAUCGGGCGCAUGACACCAACUAACCUGUGACCUACAAAGUGCCAGCAGUCGCGGUCAUACUUUUACAGGUCGGAGUUAAUCAGGACAAUUUAAUACAAUAGGUAUAUCAAAAGUGAAAUAUAGAUAUACUAACUUUUGUUUUAUUAUUCUAUAAUAAAAGCUGAUACCACACAGGGAUUAGAGACCCCUUUAUGCAGCAACUACUAAAACUUCUGGGUACUACAUUUUUACCUCAAACUCAACCACUAUGGCGGUAGUUUAAACAUUUAGGGGAACUUACUUGAUAAAUGAUAACCACCAAGACAAUCUACGUAAGGUCACAUUUUGCAUACCGUCGUCGUCGGUGCGCUAUAAUAGUGCACCAUACAUUUUAAUUUAACUUAAAGACAGAUCAAGGUGCAGACUACCUUUCCGUCUUAGCGAGUUACAAUAGUACUUCCCUUCAUUUCACAUUAGUAUUGAUGUUUACGUGGUGGACUUAAAAGUAAAAACUAUUAAAAAUGAUUUUUGAAUAUCACUUAAACUGUGU
rnacentral:rRNA from 1 species